rnacentral:rRNA from 1 species
ACUCCUACGGGAGGCAGCAGUGGGGAAUAUUGCACAAUGGGGAAACCCUGAUGCAGCCAUGCCGCGUGUGUGAAGAAGGCCUUCGGUUGUAAAGCACUUUCAGUAGGGAGGAAGGUAGUGUAGUUAACACCUGCAUUAUUUGACGUUACCUACAGAAGAAGCACCGGCUAACUCCGUGCCAGCAGCCGCGGUAAUACGGAGGGGUGCGAGCGUUAAUCGGAAUUACUGGGCGUAAAGCGCAUGCAGGCGGCCUGUUAAGUCAGAUGUGAAAGCCCGGGGGCUUAACCUCGGAAUUGCAUUUGAAACUGGCAGGCUAGAGUCUUGUAGAGGGGGUAGGAAUUUCAGGUGUAGCGGUGAAAUGCGUAGAGAUCUGAAGGAAUACCAGUGCGAAGGCGGCCCCUGGACAAAGACUGACGCUCAGAUGCGAAAGCUGGGGAGCAAACAGGAUUAGAUACCCUGGUAGACUGUCA